AGCUGUUAAAUUAGGAAUAAAAAGGUUUCAUUACCAUUUAUUACCUGUAAAAUUUAUUGUAAGAACAGAUAAUACUCAAGUAAGAUCGUCCAUUUAUUACCUGUAAAAUUUAUUGUAAGAACAGAUAACACUCAAGUAAGAUCGUUUAUAUUUAAUAAAAUAGAUCCUUUACCAGAAUUAAAUAAAAGGAGAAAUUGGCAAGCAUUUUUUAGUUGUUAUGAUUUUGUUAUUAAAAAUAUAUCAGGGACUAAGAAUGUUCUUGCAGAUUUUCUUAGCAGAGAAAAUGGACAGGGAUAGUAUGAAUCGACAGGUGGAAGGAAUAAUAGCAGAAAUCAAGAGGAAAAAUCAGCAAAUAUCAGAUUUAAACCAUGAAAUAGAAAUUCUGACCAAAAAUCUUGAAGAAGCCCUGAAAAUUCUUAGAUUAGAAACCCCUCAAACUUUUGUAUCUCGAUUAGCCUCCACACCAGUUAUAAACACUAUUACCCAAAAUUUACCAGAAAUGCCAAAAUCUUUAAGUUCUAUCAACCUAACCGAUAGAAUUAAACAUCCCAAGGAUUACAUACAAGCCUUUGAAAAAAUAACCAAAUUUUAUGAUUAUAAGUCAAACACCACAAUAUUAAGAAAUGGAAAGUUUAGCAAAUAUCCAAGGUAUAUUUGUAAAGAAAAUG
rnacentral:lncRNA from 1 species